CUUGUAUUGAGACAGACAAACAGAGUGGGUUUUUCCUCCACUAUCAUAUAAAGCAAUGAUCCUACCCUCACUCAAAUGGUAACACUCAGAAGGAUAGUCCAGUACUGUAAACAGAAAGCAACGUCCAGACACGAGUGUAGAAACAGAAAUCGUAGAAAUAGACAUCAUAGACAUCAUAGGAGCAAUCAGCCUAAUGUUCCUAAUAGGAGGGCAGAGGAAAGACAGAUACAACUUCUGAGACCUGAGGAACCAAACCAACAUAACGGUGAUAACAACACACCAGAGCCAUACUCCAUCUGCCUUUUGGAAUAUAAGGACCAGGACUUCCUGACCACUCUCCCCUGCCACCAUAUUUUUCAUUCUGCGUGCAUUAGUAGGUGGUAGCAGGAAAACACCCAAUGCCCAUUCUGUAGAGCAGAGAUGUAUGACAAUGAGGAUGAUUACAUAGAAGAACUAGAAAUAGAGGUUCCAUGGGGAGUAAAUGCUACCAUAGAAAUAUAUGUUCAAUGGGAAGUAGAUGUAAUCAGAAUAAUUACCAGGUCCCAUUGAUUUUUGGAUAUAGAGGACUAUACCACUGAAUGUCCUAUGUUCCACCAUUAUAGAGGACUAUACUACCAAAUAUCCUAUUUACCACCAUUAUAGAGGACUAUACCACCAAAUAUCCUAUUUAACACCAUUAUAGAGGACUAUAACACCAAAUGUCAUAAUAUUACACCUUUAUAGGGGACUAUACCAUCAAAUGUCCUAUUUACCACCUUUAUAGGGGACUAUACCAUCAAAUGUCCUAUUUACCACCUUUAUAGGGGACUAUACCAUCAAAUGUCAUAUUUACCACCUUUAUUAUUUUAUAAACAUCACAAUGAGAUAAACAUCUUCAUCUCCAGUCACCAUAUUUGUCUGUUUUCCUCCACCAAUUUCUUUAGAAGACAAUUUGCUCCUGAGCAGAUAUAUCCUGAGCUGCUCUUAGUCUGUUUAGCAGAUGAGCACUUGGCAGUUGGCACACAUUUCCAAAUGAACAAAAAAUACAUAAUCUCUUCUAUGAAAAUGUGUCAGUCAACAACAAAUCCAGUUUAAUGGAUAUGAAAAGGGGGAAUGGAUAAGAAAUGGGGGGAAUGGAUAGGAAAUUGGAGGGAAUGGAUAUGAAAUAGUGGAAUGGAUUUGAAAUGAGGGGGAAUUCAUAUGAAGUGGGGGAAUGGAUAUGAAACUUUGGUUUCUAUAACAGUAGCUCCAAAUUUAGCACCUUGCCUCCAUAUUGCUCCAGUUUUAGUUUGAUACAUUUGGCCCAUUUUGGAUAUGUAUUAAGAGAACUACUGGUGCAAAACACUGAACUGAUAAACACUGCAUGUGCUUGGGAUAUUAACAUUCAUUCAGGCCCAUUUAUCAAGCUCCGUACAGAGCUUGAAGGGCCGUGUUGCUGGCGAGUCUUCAGACUCGCCAGAAACACAACUUAUGAAGCAGCGGUCACAAAGACCACUGCUCCAUAACCCUGUCCGCCUGCUCUGAGCAGGCGGACCGGAAUCGCCGGAAAUCAACCCGAUCGAAUACGAUCGGGUUGAUUGACACCUCCCUGCUGGCGGCUGAUUGGCCGCGAGUCAGCAGGGGGCGGCAUUGCACCAGCAGCUCUUGUGAGCUGCUGGUGCAAUGUUAAAUGCGGAGAGCGUAUUGCUCUCCACAUUUAGCGAGGUCUUGCGGACCUGAUCCGCAGUGUCGGAUCAGGUCCGCAAGCCCUUUGAUAAAUUGGCCUGAUAGUCUUAUAACAGUUAGCGAUUCAUAUUUCAUUAUAUAUGUUCGAAGGUAUCCUAUGUGAUGUUACUAUGCAAUAUUUUACUGUUCUGAAUUGUUAAUUUAUAUUGUUAUUGUUGAACCAGAAUUCUUUGGUAAGAAUAAAAUACAAACUAUGCAUUGGAA